rnacentral:tRNA from 1 species
AAAUAAGAAACAAAAUUUUGUAAUUAGUUUCGACCUAAUCUCUUGAUGAUAAUCAUCCUUAUUUA